rnacentral:rRNA from 1 species
UACGUAGGGUGCAAGCGUUGUCCGGAAUUAUUGGGCGUAAAGAGCUCGUAGGCGGUCUGUUGCGUCCGCUGUGAAAACUCGGGGCUUAACCCCGAGCCUGCAGUGGAUACGGGCAGACUAGAGGUAGGUAGGGGAGAAUGGAAUUCCCGGUGUAGCGGUGAAAUGCGUAGAUAUCUGGAGGAACACCGGUGGCGAAGGCGGCAUUCUGGACCAUAACUGACACUGAGAGACGAAAGCCAGGGGAGCAAACGGG